rnacentral:rRNA from 1 species
GGGGAAUUUUGGACAAUGGCGGCAACCCUGAUCCAGCCAUGCCGCGUGAGUGAAGAAGGCCUUCGGGUUGUAAAGCUCUUUCGGACGGAAAGAAAUCGCCGCCUCUAACAUAGGCGGUGGAUGACGGUACCGUAAGAAGAAGCACCGGCUAACUACGUGCCAGCAGCCGCGGUAAUACGUAGGGUGCGAGCGUUAAUCGGAAUUACUGGGCGUAAAGCGUGCGCAGGCGGUUUGGUACGACAGGUGUGAAAUUUUGCAGCUCAACUGUAAAAGUGCCUUCGAAACUGGUGUCCUUGAGUGCGGAUGAGGUAGGCGGAAUUGGUGGUGUAGCGGUGAAAUGCAUAGAUAUCACGAGGAACUCCGAUUGCGCAGGCAGCUUACCAAGCCGUAACUGACGCUCAAACACGAAGGCGUGGGGAUCAAACA